UACGUAGGGUGCGAGCGUUGUCCGGAAUUACUGGGCGUAAAGCGCACGUAGGCGGAUUUGUAAGUCAGGGGUGAAAUCCCGAGGCUCAACCUCGGAACUGCCUUUGAUACUGCAAAUCUCGAGUCCGGAAGAGGUGAGUGGAAUUCCUAGUGUAGAGGUGAAAUUCGUAGAUAUUAGGAAGAACACCAGUGGCGAAGGCGGCUCACUGGUCCGGUACUGACGCUGAGGUGCGAAAGCGUGGGGAGCAAACAGG
rnacentral:rRNA from 1 species